UGUCAAGAUAUGCCAUAAUACUGAGAAUGGAGGAGUCUGAGGCCCUGGUCCAUCAACUGACAGCAUGAACUUCACGUCAAGAAGUGAGAUUGGUGAAUAAGUGAAGACAGAAGGAAAAUUGGAGAUACAGCUGGAUGUAUGAACCCUGCUCUGAAAACACUCUUUAACGGCUGGAGUGCAAUGGCGCAAUGUUGGCUCACUGCAACCUCUGCCUCCUGGGUUCAAAUGAUUCUCCUGCCUCAGCGUCCCGCAUAGCUGGGAUUACAGGCACGUGCCGCCACACCCGGCUAAUUUUUGUAUUUUUACUAGAGACAGGGUUUCACCAUGUUGGCCAGGCUGGUCUCAAACUCCUGACCUCAAGUGGUCUACCCACCUUGGCCUCCCAAAGUUCUGGGAUUACAGGUGUAAGACACUGAGCCUGGCCCAUCUGGCUGUUCAUUUCUAUCUAUUAUAAUAUCCUUUAUAAUAAACCA
rnacentral:lncRNA from 10 species